UGGGGAAUCUUGGACAAUGGGGGCAACCCUGAUCCAGCGAUGCCGCGUGGGUGAAGAAGGCCUUCGGGUUGUAAAGCCCUUUAGGCGGGGAAGAAGGAUAUGGGAUGAAUAAUCCUGUAUUUUGACGGUACCCGCAGAAUAAGCACCGGCAAACUCUGUGCCAGCAGCCGCGGUAAUACAGAGGGUGCGAGCGUUAAUCGGAUUUACUGGGCGUAAAGGGCGCGUAGGCGGUUUAGUGAGUGUGAUGUGAAAGCCCCGGGCUUAACCUGGGAAGUGCAUCGCAAACGACUAAACUGGAGUAGGUGAGAGGGUGGCGGAAUUUCCGGUGUAGCGGUGAAAUGCGUAGAGAUCGGAAGGAACGUCAAUGGCGAAGGCAGCCACCUGGCACCAUACUGACGCUGAGGCGCGAAAGCGUGGGGAGCGAACA
rnacentral:rRNA from 1 species